AUCACUUCUCACCCUUUUGGCUAAGAUCAAAUGUAGUAUCUGUUCUUAUCAGUUUAAAAUGUCUCCAUGAAAGAACACCUGUCUAUGGAGAGAAUAUGUGCACAAAAAAUAUUUGAUGGAAGAGGAGAGUAACUCUCUUAUUCACCCUAUCAAGAACUUCCUCACUUUCAUGUUCCAUAAUGUAAAUAAA